rnacentral:rRNA from 1 species
UACGGGGGGGGGCAAGCGUUGUUCGGAAUUACUGGGCGUAAAGGGCUCGUAGGCGGCCAACUAAGUCAGACGUGAAAUCCCCAGGCUUAACCUGGGAACUGCGUCUGAUACUGGAUGGCUUGAAUCCGGGAGAGGGAUGCAGAAUUCCAGGUGUAGCGGUGAAAUGCGUAGAUAUUGGGAGGAACACCGGUGGCGAAGGCGGCCCCCUGGACCGGUACUGACGCUGAGGCGCGAAAGCUAGGGGAGCGAACGGG